ensembl:snRNA U6 U6 spliceosomal RNA
GUGCUCAUUUUGGCAGCACAUAUACUAAAAUUGGAACGAUACAGAGAUUAGCAAGGAUGACAUGCAAAUUUGUAAAGCAUUCCAUAUUUUU